UAACCUUUUGUCGUCUUUUUGUAUCCUUCUUUUAAUAGAACACACCGAGCUGCUCUUUCCUAAGCUUCCCAGAAUCAUCCUCUUUCAAAUCUUGGGAUUUCUGAUUUCUUUAUCCUUGGCGUUGUGGGUUUUUUCCCAGAAAUUACUCCUCAUUCUUCUAUGUAAUCAAUUAUAUAAUCUACCCAGAAUCAUCCUCAUUCUGCUGCAAAACAAAACUGAAGAGUUCGACUGCUGCAACUUCUGGCCAAACUCAUCGAACCUCUGCAACUUCCGGCAAGCGGUUACCGAACCCAACCAACCGAGACUUGCGCAACAGACUCCUCGGUUGUGGUAUCAGAUUUUUUAUCCCAACAUAUAAUCGGUCGGUAGAUGGUAUGGGUAAAAUAGGGUCGGUAUUCUACCGAACCCAGCCCCCAGUUGCUGGUUCAUGAGAAUUAGGGUUUAAGCUUUUGCUCUGAAAAGGUGGCAUCUUUUCUCAAUCAGAUAACGCAUUCGAGCUCUUAAACCCUUUAGUGUGCAUAUUAGAAAUCUAUCUAUCUAUUACUCAAUGAUUUAUAGGAGAAAGUUGUGUCCUAGAAAUUUUGGUAGACUCUCCAAAAACCCUACCUUAAACCCUGCCUUCCCCAAUUUCAACUCAUACCCUAAUCUCUGCACCAGAGAGCUCCAUAGUUAUGGUGGAAGUUCUAGAUUUUGGAGCUCUAUAUUGGGUUCCAGCUUAAUUUCUCCUAAAUGUUCUAUAUCGAAAACCCCCAAUUUCAUUGGCAGUUCUGGGGUUUCAAGAUUGAAUUUUGAUGAAAAUUCAUUAUCUGUUGGGUGUUGUUUUGUUAGAAAUUACUGUUCUGGGAAGAAGAGUGAUGAGUGGACUGAGGAGAUUGAGUAUUUGGAUGAAUCAGGAAGUGUUAUCUACACUGGGAAAGGUAUAAGGUCUGUUGAGCCGGGCCUCGAUGACCAUGUGAUGGUUGGUGGUUUGAAGAAGCCGCUUCUGAAUGCCUCUGCAAUUGCUAAGAUUGUGGAGGUUGUGAAGAGGUGGAAAUGGGGGCCUGAGUUGGAGACCCAAUUGGACAAACUCCAAUUUGUGCCAAACAUGAUUCACAUGACGCAAGCGCUGAAGGUGAUCAAAGACGGUGAAGGGUCUUUGAGUUUGUUUCGAUGGGCUAAGAGGCAGCCUUGGUAUUUUCCGAGUGAUGAGUGUUAUGUGUUGUUGUUUGAUGGCCUGAAUGAGAGUAGGGAUUUUGAUGGGAUUCAGUCAUUAUUUGAUGAAAUGGUGCAGGAUUCAAGUAAUAACGGUGUUUUUUCGUAUACUGCAUAUAAUCGUGUCAUUCAGUUUUUGGCAAAAGCUGAUAAAAUGGAGGUGGCAUUCUGCUGUUUUAAGAAGAUUCAGGAUUCAGGAUGUAAAGUUGAUACUCAGACAUAUAAUUCGCUUAUACUGCUAUUUUUGAAUAAGGGGUUACCUUAUAAGGCAUUUGAGGUAUAUGAAAGCAUGAAAGCUGCAAAUUGUGCAUUAGAUGGAUCAACCUAUGAAUUGAUGGUACCAAAUUUGGCAAAGUCGGGCCGCCUUGAUGCUGCAUUCAAGCUCUUCCAAGAAAUGAAAGAGAAGAAUGUAAAACCCAGCUUUAAUGUCUUUGCAUCGCUGGUCGAUUCAUUGGGAAAAGCUGGGAGGUUGGACAUGGCAAUGAAGGUGUACAUGGAAAUGCAGGGUUAUGGAUUCAGGCCAUCUGCUCCAAUGUAUGUAUCCAUGAUUGAGUCAAAUGUAAAGGCUGGAAAAUUGGAUGCUGCCCGUAGACUUUGGGAUGAGAUGAAGAAAGCAGGCUUUAGGCCUAAUUUUGGGUUAUACACAAUGAUUGUUGAGUCCCAUGCAAAAUCAGGAAAACUUGAUAUUGCAAUGUCUACCUUUACGGAUAUGGAGAAGGUUGGAUUUUUACCCACUCCAUCUACAUAUUCAUGUCUGUUGGAAAUGCAUGCUGCCUCUGGACAAGUUGAUCCUGCGAUGAAGUUGUAUAAUUCCAUGACCAAUGCAGGGUUAAGACCAGGUAUGAGUACUUACACUGGCCUUCUAAUGCUCUUAGCUAAAAAGAAAAAUGUGGAUGUCGCUGCAAAAAUUUUGCUCGAGAUGAAAAGCAUGGGAUAUUCUGUUGAUGUGAGUGCUAGUGAUGUACUUAUGGUGUAUAUCAAGGAUGGUUCUGUUGAUGUUGCUUUGCGGUGGUUACGUUUCAUGGGUUCAUCAGGGAUUCGAACGAAUAAUUUUAUAAUUAGACAGCUGUUUGAGUCAUGUAUGAAGAGUAGUUUGUUUGAGUCAGCAAAGCCUCUUCUUGAAACUUAUGUGAACUCUGCUGCAAAAGUCGAUCUGGUACUGUACACAUCCAUUCUAGCACAUCUUGUAAGGUGCCAAGAUGAAGAGAAUGAGAGGCAUUUGAUGUCAAUACUUAGUACUACCAAACAUAAGGCACAUGCUUUUAUGUGCGGACUCUUCACAGGCCCAGAACAGAGGAAACAACCAGUAUUAUCUUUUGUCAGGGAAUUUUUCCAAAGUAUUGACUAUGAGUUGGAAGAGGGGCCUGCUAGGUUCUUUGUUAAUGUUCUCCUCAAUUAUCUUGUUCUUAUGGGCCAGAUAAACCGAGCUCGGUGUGUUUGGAAAGUUGCCUAUGAGAAUAAGCUUUUCCCGAAGGCAAUAGUGUUUGACCAGCAAAUAGCUUGGUCCCUUGACGUCAGGAACUUAUCAGUUGGAGCUGCUCUCAUAUCAGUUGUGCAUACUCUCCACAGGUUCCGGAAACGAAUGUUGUAUUAUGGUGUUGUCCCUAGACGUAUUAAAUUGGUCACUGGACCAACUUUGAAGAUUGUGAUUGCACAAGUUUUGAGCUCUGUGGAAUCUCCAUUUGAGGUUAGUAAAGUAGUGCUGAGGGCUCCAGGGGAUGCUGUCAUGGAGUGGUUUAAAAAACCCAUUGUUCAACAGUUUCUUCUGAAUGAGAUUCCAUCUAGGUCUGACAUCCUCAUGCACAAGCUGAACACUCUUUUUCCAAGUUCUGCACCUGAACUAAGAUCUCUCUCCCCUCCCAAAAUGCUCAUGGGAAGGAAAGCAAUGUAAAGGCUGUUGAUUGUGCCUUCAGAUGUGGAAUGAGCAAUACUGUAAGCUAUAGCAAACAUAUGCUAUUUCGACUUUCUGAUGGAUCACUUUACAGUAUCUCAUGGAAAGGGGAGUUCUACAGGACUUAUGAACUUGAUCCAAUUCCACAUGAUGUCUUGCUUCUAAAGGGAUUCCAGAGUUCCAGGAACUAGUGUUGCCACCAACUCUACUAUUAUCCAACUGGAACUUUAUUUCUCACUUAGGUUACUACUAGACUCGUACCGGUGCUGACUCACGUGUUAAUUUAUUGGUUAUUGUGUAAUGAUGAAAAAAAACAGAUUAUAUUUGUGGUUACAUCUAUUUUGAUUUUUAUAACACAAUCAUUGUGUAA